rnacentral:lncRNA from 1 species
GUACGCCUUCUCAGCCGAGAUGAUGGGCGCGUACGAGCUGAGCAUGAAGUGGAUGCGGGGGUAGGGCACCAGGUUGGUCUGGAACUCGGUGAUAUCCACGUUCAGGGCACCGUCGAAGCGCAGCGAGGCGGUCAGCGACGAGAUGACCUGGGCGAUCAGGCGGUUCAGGUUGGUGUAGGUGGGGCGCUCAAUGUCCAGGGAGCGGCGGCAGAUGUCGUAGAUGGCCUCGUUGUCGAGCAUCACGGCGACAUCGGUGUGCUCCAGCAGGGAGUGGGUGGACAGCACCGAGUUGUAGGGCUCGACGACGGCGGUCGACACCUGGGGCGAGGGGUAGACGGUGAAGCCCAGCUUGGACUUCUUGCCGUAGUCCACCGACAGGCGCUCCAGCAGCAGGGAGCCCAGGCCGGAGCCGGUGCCACCGCCGACGGCGUUGAACACCAGGAAGCCCUGCAGACCGGUGCAGUUGUCGGCCAGCUUGCGGAUGCGGUCCAGGGCCAGGUCGACAAUCUCCUUGCCGAUGGUGUAGUGGCCGCGGGCGAAGUUGUUGGCGGCAUCCUCCUUGCCGGAGAUCAGCUGCUCUGCGAGCGUGAAGGGAACGGGGGGAGGCGAAGUCAGCACAGGGCAAGGAAAGGGCGCAGGACGGAAGCUGGGCGGACUUCAAGGCACUGGCUGAAGAAUGCUGACACAGCCGAAGGCCAACAUAUGACUGCAAUAGCAAGCGAGAAGCCCAGAUCGAACACCAAGAGAAGCCCUUUUAGAACGCACGCACACAAGUUCGAAGCACAUGCGAACUCACCGGGGUGGAACAGCUGGCGGUAGGUGCCGGUGCGGACCUCAUCCACCACGGUGGGCUCCAGGUCCAGGAAGAUGCAACGGGGCACGUGCUUGCCGGCACCGGUCUCCGAGAAGAAGGUGUUGAAGGCAUCGUCGCCACCGCCAAUGGUCUUGUCGGAGGGCAUCUGGCCAUCAGGCUGGAUGCCGUGCUCCAGGCAGUAAAGCUCCCAGCAGGCAUUGCCCACCUGUGCGGGAACGCGAGGAGGCAGAAGCGGCAAAGUCAAAGCAAGGUCAGGGGGAAGAUCCGCGGCCCAAAGCGCAAGCGCGCGCAGAGGCAAGGCCAGCAAGCUGUGAACGCUGCUGAUCAAAUUUGCGAGUGCCCCAGGAAGAAAGCGAGCAAAUGUGCCAGGUUCGCGGCAAGUUCGAAUCGGCGCUAGCAAUCUCCCCGCGGUCCCGCUCCCCCUCUCGUUCGCAGGCGACUGACCUGGAUACCGGCCUGGCCGAUGUGGAUGGAGAUGACCUCACGCAUGGUUGCGAAGGGACUGGAUACGGAGAAGAGAAGGGGAGCGAAAGGGGA